GGAAUAUUGCACAAUGGGCGCAAGCCUGAUGCAGCGACGCCGCGUGGGUGAAGACGGUUUUCGGACUGUAAAGCCCUUUUCUAGGUGACGAGAGUGGACGGUAGCCUAGGAAUAAGUCUCGGCUAACUACGUGCCAGCAGCCGCGGUAAAACGUAGGAGGCAAGCGUUAUCCGGAGUUACUGGGCGUAAAGCGCGUGCAGGCGGAUCGGUAAGUUACUUAUGAAAGCUCCUGGCUAAACCGGGAGAGGUUAAGUAAUACUGCCAAUCUAGAGUGGAUGAGAGGUAGGUAGAAUUCCUUGUGUAGUGGUGAAAUGCGUAGAUAUAAGGAAGAAUACCGGUGGCGAAGGCGACCUACUGGCAUCCAACUGACGCUCAGACGCGAAAGCAUGGGUAGCG
rnacentral:rRNA from 1 species